UACAGACGCUAGGGGAGCCGAUGGCUGAGAGGAAGGUAAAACCUUCGACCCUCUGAACCUGAACUGGGUAAUGCCAGCGAAGGGAAGCGAAAAGAUUACUCC
rnacentral:ncRNA from 2 species